rnacentral:rRNA from 1 species
CAGAGGGGGCAAGCGUUAUUCGGAAUUAUUGGGCGUAAAGGGCGCGUAGGCGGCUUUGCAAGUGACGGGUGAAAUCCCUCGGCUUAACCGAGGAACUGCCUGUCAGACUGCAUGGCUUGAGACCGGGAGAGGUGAGUGGAAUUCCCAGUGUAGCGGUGAAAUGCGUAGAUAUUGGGAGGAACACCAGUGGCGAAGGCGGCUCACUGGACCGGUACUGACGCUGAUGCGCGAAAGCGUGGGGAGCAAACAGGAUUAGAUACCCUGGUAGUCCACGCCGUAAACGAUGAGUGCUUGGUGUAGCGGGUAUCGACCCCUGCUGUGCCGAAGUCAACACAUUAAGCACUCCGCCUGGGGAGUACGGUCGCAAGACUG